CAGCGCCACGAGUGGCAACCAUAUUUAUUGGGCCUAAAGCGUCCGUAGCCGGUUUGAUAAGUCUUUUGUGAAAUCGUUGCGCUCAACGUAACGUUGUGCAAGAGAUACUGUCAGACUUGGAAUUGGGAAGAGUUAGAGGUAUUCUGGGGGGAGCGGUAAAAUGCUAUAAUCCCUGGAGGACCACCAGUGGCGAAAGCGUCUAACUAGAACAACUUCGACGGUGAGGGACGAAAGCCAGGGGAGCAAAACGGAUUAGAGACCCGAGUAGUCC
rnacentral:rRNA from 1 species